rnacentral:lncRNA from 1 species
AAUCUUCCUUAGACGGGUGAACUGUGUGCUGCCAGAAAUAAAAUUAAUAGCCUCACUUUUUUGGGUGCUUACAAGGGUUGGAACUUCAAGAAAUGGUCAUGAAUUCACUCCAGCCCUGGCUCAAAGAUUUUUUUUUCUUUCUUCCCUUCUUCUUCCUUCUUCUCCCUACUCCCUUCUCUUCCUCUUUCUCCUCCUCCUUCCUUCUCCUUCUUUUUCUUUUUGGAAACCACUGAUUUAACCCUGAGAGAGGGAAAACUUGUCCUGGCAAGAAUUUCCAAAGCUCAGUUUUAUUUUUUAAGACAAAGUCUCGCUCUUGUCACUCAGGCUGGAGUGCAGUGGCGUGCUCUCGGCUCACUGCAGCUUCCGACUCCCUGGUUCAGGAGAUUUUUCUCGUGCCUCAGGAUCCCAAGUAGCUGGUACUACAGGCGUCAUCAUGCCCGGAUAAAUUUUCUACUUUUAGUAGAGACGGGGUUUCACCAUGUUGGCCAGGCUGGUCUCGAACUCCCGACCUCAGGGGAUCCACCCGCCUCGGCCUCCCAAAGUGCUGGUAUUACAGGCGUGAGCCCCAGCGCCCGGCCCCAAAGUUCCGUUUUACCCUUUUUCCCACGCUGAGGCUACAGCUGAACCCAGCCUCCAGACCACCUCCUCAUUGGUCUAUGGGAGCACGUGACAUCAUGCGUCCUCCAAUCACCAGCAAGCAAGCAAGGCGUGGGCGGGACCAAGGGCGGCUACCUCUGGGGCCAGCAGGAUUGGCUGUUGCCCGUGGUAACUGUGUGUGACGUCAUAAAGCUUCCUUGCACCUUGGCAAGGCCCCGGGAGCAGGGACCUUUUCUCUCCCACUAUACAGAUGGGGACACUGAGGCGCUGGUUCUCAAUCUAUGAAAAAAUGGGGUGCUGGUAGCCGGGCGUGGUGGCGGGUGCCUGUCGUCCCAGCUACUCGGGAGGCUGAGGCAGGAGAAUGGCGUGAACCCGGGGAGACGGAGCUUGCAGUGAGCCGAGAUGGCGCCACCGCACCCCAGCCUGGGCGACAGAGCAAGACUACGUCUCAAAAUAAAUAAAUAAAUAAAUAAAUAAAUAAGCCAAGGAUGAUGAUGCACACCUGUAGUCCUAGCUGCUUGGGCGACUGAGGCAGGAGGAUGCCUUGAACCCAGGAGUUCAUGUAGGUUGCAGUGAGCUGUAGUUGCACCACUGGAGUCCAGCCUGGGCAACAGAGCAAGACCCUGUGUAAAGAACAAAAAAAGUUUAUGUAACAUUUUAGAAAUGGAAUUAGGGUUAGGGAUGAGGGUGCGGGGAGGGUGCACAAACAGCAAGAGAUCCUGAUGGUGAUGGAAAUGCUCCAUGUCAUGAUGGUGGAUACACGAAUCUACCCAGGCCAGCAAAUUAUAGGAGACUAAAGACAUCUCACACACUCACACACACGAUCACAAGUUAAACUGAGGAAUCCUGAGUAAGAUUGAUGGAUUGUAUCCAUGUGAAAUCUUACUUAUAUGUUUUUUAGAGAUGGAGUGUCCUUAAUGCACCCCAGGCUGGAGUGCAAUUUUGUGAUCUCAGCUCACUGCAGCCUCUGGGGUUCAAGCGAUUCUCCUGCCUCAGCCUCCGGAGUAGCUGGGAUUACAGGCGCCCACCACCACGCCCGACUAAUUUUUGUAUUUUUAGUAGAGAUGGGGUUCCACUAUGUUGGCCAGGCUGCUGUCGAACUCCUGACCUCGUGAUUCACCUGCCUUGGACUCUCAAAGUGCUGUGAUUACAGGCGUGAGCCACCACACCCGUUUUUGUUUUGUUUUGUUUUGUUUUGUUUUUGUUUUGAGAUGGAGUCUCACUCUGUUGCCCAGGCGAGAGUGCAGUGGUGUGUUCUAGGCUCAGUGCAACCACCGCCUCCCAG